UUUGGUUUGGAAUAAUAACUGCAGAAAAUAUGUGCUUGGGAAACAGUGGUUUUCUGGCCGUUGCCAGUUUCUUCCAUUACUGUUGGAACAGUGACUUGAGCCCUCACAUAUACAGCUCUUUCAUUCCACUGACAUCAGUGUAAAUGGCAUUUAACUUGGGGUUCCUUGUGCAGAAAUUGGACUACAAAUAAUUAAUUGUUCUGUUAGGGGGAGUUGAGGCUUACUGAAUUCAAAUGAACUUCCAGGCAGUAUCUGAAAGCCUGUAAGGAGCUUGACUGCACCAUGGGAUGUUUGUCCAACACCUACUAAUUGGGAGACCCAUCCUGGGGCCUAGCUUGAAUGUGUUGGGAAGCACCAGCAGUGUCACUCUAGCCAGUGUACUGGAGCACCCUCAUAAGUCUCCUUCUACUCAAUGAGGGUUUAUUUAGCACUUACUCUUUUGCUAAAGACCCCGAUAGCCCAAAGAGCUGGGCAAGUGACAAAAUGCAGAGCACUAUCAGCAAGAGUUCAUAUUCACUGCAGCUACACCCUGAAAGGGGAACCCUUAUCCUCCUGGAUGCAAUUCCCUGCACUGUCCAGCGUUGUCUAAACACAGUCCAGGUUCACCAUUUUGGGGAGACCCACAACUGACAAAGCACUGACACUGGGGGUUUUUCAUGUUGAAUCCCAGCAUUAUUGACCUGCCAGGCUGGGCAGAUUCCCAUGACACCAAACCCAGGCAAGCAUUUCUGUGCAUGAGCCUGAUAAUAUAUAAUUAGGCAAAUAUUGCAGGAGUUAUGUAAAAAUAAACGAGGGUUGGAGAUGUAGCUCAGUGGUAGAGCACUUGCCUAGCAGAUGUGAGGCCUUGGGUUCAAUCCUCAGCACUAAAAAAUAAAUAAAAUAAAAAGGGAGAGAAAAGGAAGUAACAGAUAAUCAUAUAAAUUUGGGAAAUUGAGCUCAAUAAAGAUAAGCAAGUUGUUUUCUUUUUUUAAACAGGAUUUAUCGGGACAUGUAAUAUGCCACCAGGCAUUGUGAAUGUCCAAAAAUCUAUACAGUAUUUUUUCACACAUUAUUUGACUAUAAGACUCAUUUUCUCAUGAUCCUGUUGGGUGAAGAGUAUUCUAUUAGCAACUUUGUGACAUACUGCUACUCAAAGCUUGACCAUCAGAACAGGGUCAUUCAAAGGAUGACUGGUUACUCAUGGGCAAUGAGCUAAGAACAGAAAUAACACAAAGCUUUUAGAAACUUUUAUAGCUUUCAUAACUUGACAGAAUAACUUCUAUAUCUUUUGGAUCUAAUCACAAAGUAGUAGGGCUUACAUUUCUUUGUUUUAUUAACUUCAUUUUCUUAGAAAUUAAUUUUUAAGGUACUUUAUUUUUUUAAAAUCCAUCUGCAGCACACUGAAAGUUUUAAAAACUGGUCUUUCCCCUCAUAAUUUGAGAAUGUCUUCAUUAACAUGAAACCCCCAACCAGACCUUGCUGGCAUCAAGAAUGGAGCGCAAAGGUUAUCCCAAAGUCCAGACUACCUGCCCUUGCAUGGAAGCCAUCCUGGCCUUUGAUUGCUUCUUCAUCCAUUAUAACCUUGUCAUUUUUACACAGAUUCUCAGACUCAAGUUCCUUGCAGUGGAUCAUUUGCUCCUGCAUCCAUAAGAGGACGGUAGUAUCAGGAGCCCUUGCCUGGAGAGAGGGUCCCGAGAAAGAAGGGACCUUGACUACUCUGGGAGAAGUCCUUCCCUGUACCCAGGACAGAUUCGUGACAGCUCAGUUUGACUUCACCACCUCUGUGGCUUCCCACCACUGUCUGUGGCUGCACCCAAAUGCUGGCGCCUGAGGACACCCCGUCUGCCUGCUGAGGGGCCUCGGCAUCUUACCAGAGAGCACCUGUGUUUGUCAGGGUUUCCAGAAAAGCAGAGCUGAGGGGGUAAGUGCACAUAUAUACACAUCCCCAUACACACAGAGGAAAUGCACACAUACACACGCACAUGCACAAACCCAGACACACUCAGGAGACAUACACAGAGGAGGUACACACACAUAUUCACACACAUGAAGAGGCUACAUAUACACAUGGGAUAUAUACACAUACACAGGAUAUACACACACGUAUAUAUACAUGCACAGGGUACACACACAUAUAUACAUGGCAUGUGUAUAUACAUAUGUAUGUAUACACACAUACAAGCUGAGAUUUAUAUUGGGAUCAGCUCAUGUGAUUCUGGAGUCUGGGAAGCCCCACCAUCUUCCAUCUGUGAGCAGAUAACCCAGGAAAGCCAGUUGUGUCAUUCAGUCCCCGUCUACAGGCCUGAGAGCCAGGGGCUUAUGGUGUAAGCCCCACUGCAAGGGCAGGAAGUGAGAUGAGGUCCCAGCUCAUGCAGUGAGGCAGGAAGAAAGGGGACCAAUUCUUCCUUCCUCUGCCUUUUGUUCUAUCAGGCCCAUAUGGUGGGGAUGAGUGCACCACCUCUCUUCAGUCCAUGGGUUUGAAUGUUGACUCAUCUACCAGAAUCCUCACAGGUGUACUUGGAAAUAGUGUUUAACCAAAACUGACCACUUAGGAGCCAGUCAGGAUGAGGUACAGAAUGAACUAUCACACCUGCCCCACUGUCACCACACCUCUGAUCUUGUCACAUCACCCAGUUGAAGUAGAAGUGACCAAGUUGCCUAUGGUGGCUUAUGGGAAGAGAAUGGUAGGGCGAACUGACUGGGUCCUGGGCUCAGCUUGCCCCUAGACACUGGCAGAGGCAAGGAUGUCACACUGUUUAAAGCAGCAAUCCUACUCCUAGAGUCCAGCCCAGUUAGUAUCCUGGAGUGUACCAUGGAUAUGUCCCCUGGUCCCUAGUGGAAAGGGGCCUGAAAGGAUGUUCUGGGAGUAACAGAGGAGAGACUUGGCAAUGGUACCUACUGGGACAAGACACACCAUUAGCCUUGGUUUAAAUAAUUUAGUUAUGUAGUUUUAACAAUCGUGCAAGCCUACCUCUGUCAGAGGUUACUAUCAUCAAAACCCUUGAUAUCUCUGCAUGGUUGUGCCAUCAGAAUUCCAGUUCAUUUCCCCUCUUUUUCCUUAAAGCUCUAAAAUUGGUGCUGAGAAAGCCACUUGGAACAGAUGGUAUUGAAGAUUCCUUUGAAAUGGCCCACUGAGGCCCCAUGAAAACAUGUUCUCCUCACAUGCAGUGCCUCUGUCCCGUGGCACUGUCAGGCGGUGAGGACAAGUGGGUGGGCUGCAUUUCUGGCUGCUAGGAGUAUGACAGCCUCCCAGAAUGUGAUGGCCUGGGGCUGCAAUGGUCUGGCGCUUCAACAUCUUCUACGUGACAUCCAAUGGCUUUCUUUGGAUAUUAGCUGUCACCUUCGGAUAUUAAGCUAUCACACUUUAACCUGUUGAUGACAACAAUCUCUGGGCCGAGAAAUCUCUGGGAAAGUUUUAUAAUCUCAUCUCCCCAGCUUGGGGGUGUCUGUGAAUUUGCCCUGCCCAAGAGAAAGUGGAGGUGUGUAGAAUUUCUCCUUUCCUAUUCCCUUCUGAUACGGCAGGGUUAAUGGAAAGUGUAUCACAAAGGACAUUACACUCCGAGUUAUGUUAAACUGUUAACAAAAGAAAGCUUAUGUGAAUGGCUGGAACAUGAAUGGGUUAAUUUUUCUCACAUAACCAGAUGUUUGGAGGUAGGCGUUUGCUACCUCCUACAGGUUGCUUUAACUGUGAUGGUCAAUCUAUAGACUCUAUCUUUAUGCCCCCCCAAAUUCAUAUACUGAAAUCAACUUCCAGUGUGAUAUUGUUAGAAGGUAGAGCCUUUGAGAGGUGGUUAGGUCAUGGUGUGGAGCCCUUACGAGUGAGAUUAAUACCCUUAUAAAAAGACCAUAGAGUUUCCACUCCCCUUUUGCCACAUAGAGACACAACUAGAAGACAGCUGCCUAUGAACCAGGAAGUAGGCUCUCACCAGACACAAAAUCUACUGACACCUUGUAAUGGUUUAGAUGUAAAAUAUCCUCCAAAAGUCUCAUGUGUUUAGAGAUGGGGGCUUUAGGAAGAUGAUUGGAUCAUGAGGGUGUUGUACUCAUCAGUGGAUUGAUCCAUGGUGAGUUCACAGAUGAAUGUGCUGUUUGGAAAUGGGGCUCAGUUGCAAGGGUGUCACUUAGGGGCAGGACCUGAAAGGGUAUAUUCUUGUUCCUGGCCUCUCCUUUCUCUCUCUGCUUCCUAGCUGCCAGGGGGUGAGCUAUUGGAGGCUGAUCAAUCCUCUGAUCUGCCUAGAAAGAGGGACAAUGAAGUCGAAAGAAAGAAAGAAAGAAAGAGAAAGAAAAGAAAGAAAGACAACAGAGACUUGUUUAAUUUCGUAGUAUAUGGGACGGCUGGAAUUUAGCUCAGUGGCACUGUGCCUACCUCCAAAGUGCAAAGUCCUGAAUUUGAUCCCUGGUACUGAAACAAAAAAUAAACAAACAAGCAAAAAACAUAGCACAUGGGGGACUGGGAGGUCAGUGCCUCAGAGUAGGCAAAGACAAAAGACUCCUGAGCCAGCCAGUAUUUAUUGGGUGUGCACAAUAAUAGGAGGGAGUAUCUAGUGACUUAAGGGGCGGUGGUAAUCUUAUGUUGGUGAGGAUCUUAUGUUGAUAAGGGCAGUAAGGACAGCAUUCCUACAAUAGUAGGUGAGAUGAAAUAGGCUAAUAAAGAAUGUGUCCUUGGGCCGGGGAUUUAGCUCAGUGGUUCUGCCGCCUGCCUAGCAAGCGCAAGCAUCUGAGUUCGAUCCCUGGUACCAAAAAAAACAACAACAAAAAAACCCAAAAAAGAAUAUGUCCUUCUCCCAGGUGAAACCUUUCUUUUUUAAUUAUUACUGCUCAGUUCUCAAAGAACCAGGAUGUCUUCAGCUGAUGUACUUUUGGCCUUGACUGUCACAGUAUCACAGGACCAUUGAGGCCUCAACUUGUGACUGGAGGAUGGCUCCUGACAGUGAGCAGCUUUCUUCCACCAUGCCAUCUGCCAUUGCAUUUCUGCCUUGGAGCCCGCUGACUGUGCAUGGACUGAACCUUCUAAAACCAUGAGCCAAAAUAAACCUAUCCUCCUUCUAAGUUGCAGGUGUUGAGUGUUUUGUCCAAGUGAUGGGAAAGUGACUAAUAUGCACCUUGAUUUUAGACUUUCCAGUCUCCAAUAUCAUGAGAAAUAAAUUUCUGUUGUUUAUAAGCCAGCACUCUACAGCAUUCUGUUUAGCAGGCCACACACACUAAUAUGGUAUUUUCCAAGCUCUUUGCCUCAUGGAUACAGAAGAGAUUCUGUAGCUCCAGACAUCAUUUCUGUACUCAAGUAGAAAGAAGUUAGGUGGGGAGUAGAAUGAGCAACAUCUAUCUCUUUAAUAAGAAAAGCAGUGCCUUCACAGAAGUAUUCUCAACCAACUUUCCUUGGUCUCAUUUGCCAGAAGUGGGUUCUAUGGUCACCUUUUUCCAAGAGAAGUUGGGAAAGUAAGGAAGAGGACUGUCAUGAUUCAUUAUCUGUUGCUGGGCACAUGGCCAAAGUAUAAGAAAAAAACAAAAAUGGGAAAUGGAUGCCGUGUAGGCCACUAACAGGUGGCUUGUCAGAACUUAUUUUUGAGAAUCGCAUCUCCAUGUAAAAUAUUUUAGAUUGAGAUUCAUUUAUGAUAACCAUCUUUGGAGCAAACAGGAUUUUUUCACUGGCUGCCUUAUGUAAACAAAACUGCUUCUGCAAGUGACUUAUUAACAUCCCAGCUAAGCCACCCUGUGGUUUGACCUUGGCUUGCUACCUUAGAGGGAACUGCUGAGUCCCGCAUGUUUACCAGCUGUUCUGUGCUGAAUGCUUGAGUAUCUGGAAAGCAAAUAAAGCCUAGUAGGCCUAUGCUUCCAGGGGAAGUUGGGGGCCUGGGGAGGGGAGCCUUCCUUUAACAAAGACAGUCCUUUCAAUGUCAGUGACAAAUGUGUUUGUACGAAGGCCUCAGAGAGUAGAGGGACAAGUGGUGGUUGCCCCUGGUAACCAAGGUGAACUCUAUUCCUGAUUGGAUGGGUUCACAAGGAGGGUAGUGGGGCCCUGGCUGCUGGGCUUUAGGUAGAUUUAAAAAAUCAUGCAAAGGAAGAGAAAACAAAGAGUAAGGAUCAAGAACCCAUGCAUGGGGGUGGGGGUGGGAGUGGUUUUUUGUUUCCUCUGCUAAUUAACAGCCAAGGAGGCCCUUUUCAGGUCAGGUCAGUGCAUAGGAGCCCUGGUACGGGGUGGACGCCACUCCCAAUGUUCCUAACACUAAAACAAUCAAUUUUCACCCCAAAGUAAAGUUAGGUAGUUGGUUAUAAGGGGUAGAGUGUUGAUAGUUGCCACCACAUUGUUCUUAUAAAUAAAAUGCAUGGUAACUUUAAAAUAAUAAAUGUGUGUGUAGCUGCUGACCAGUUCAUAGCUUUUCCAGCCUCUCGGUGUCCCAGUCUGGUGGGUAGCUGUCCUCAGGCUCCAGGCCAAGCAGUGGCCAGGGCACACUGUGCAGUGUCCAGAGGAACCGGACUUUCCUCUGGGGCUUGGUGACACACAGCUCCUCAUUAGCAACAGAAAAGACAGGGAGCUGGCUUGAGGCUGAGCCUGGCCUGCCCCAGAUUCUGGGUUUUGUUUUUCUGAUUCUGUCCUCGAACUGAUUCACUCCUCCUGCUCAUUCAGCUGGGAGAGGCUGAGCAGCUCUCUGACAGCCGAGGACAUGUCACUGCAGCAGAGAGCUGGCAAUUUGCAGUACCUGAAG
ensembl:lncRNA